GGCCUUAUAGUGUAGUGGUUUAUCACCCUCGGUUUUGAGGAUACUUGACUCUCCAGCCAAGUCCGAAAUAUCCGGGUGACCCAGGUUCGAACCCUGGUAAGGCCU